CAUGCAAGUCGAACGGAGUUGAAAGGAGCUUGCUUUUUUCAACUCAGUGGCGGACGGGUGAGUAACGCGUGAGUAACCUGCCUUUCAGAGGGGGAUAACGUUCUGAAAAGAACGCUAAUACCGCAUAAGAUUGUAGCUUCGCAUGGAGCAGCAAUCAAAGGAGCAAUCCGCUGAAAGAUGGACUCGCGUCCGAUUAGAUAGUUGGCGGGGUAACGGCCCACCAAGUCGACGAUCGGUAGCCGGACUGAGAGGUUGAUCGGCCACAUUGGGACUGAGACACGGCCCAGACUCCUACGGGAGGCAGCAGUGAGGGAUAUUGGGCAAUGGGGGAAACCCUGACCCAGCAACGCCGCGUGAGGGAUGACGGUUUUCGGAUUGUAAACCUCUGUCCUCUGUGAAGAUAGUGACGGUAGCAGAGGAGGAAGCUCCGGCUAACUACGUGCCAGCAGCCGCGGUAAUACGUAGGGAGCAAGCGUUGUCCGGAUUUACUGGGUGUAAAGGGUGCGUAGGCGGAUUGGCAAGUCAGAAGUGAAAUCCAUGGGCUUAACCCAUGAACUGCUUUUGAAACUGUUAGUCUUGAGUGAAGUAGAGGUAGGCGGAAUUCCCGGUGUAGCGGUGAAAUGCGUAGAGAUCGGGAGGAACACCAGUGGCGAAGGCGGCCUACUGGGCUUUAACUGACGCUGAGGCACGAAAAGUGUGGGUAGCAAACAGGAUUAGAU
rnacentral:rRNA from 1 species